CACAAGAGCCACCUGGGUUAGCUGUCUCUGAUUUUGAGCUGGAAGACUAGAGGGAAGGCAACUAGUCAACAGUGCAACUAGUCAACAGUAUCCACCACCAACUGCUGGGCUGCUCUUAUUAACUAAAGGGAUUUUGCGUUACUAUGACUACGCUGAACGAGUCAGAUCCAGAAUACGCUGAACGGGUCAGAUUCAGAAUACGCUGAACGAGUCAGAUCCAGAAUACACUGAACGAGUCAGAUUCAGAGUACAUUGAACGAGUCAGAUCCAGAAUACGCUGAACGAGUCAGAUUCAGAGUACGUUGAACGAGUCAGAUCCAGACUACGCUGAACGAGUCAGAUUUAGACUACGCUGAACGAGUCAGAUCUGGACUACGCUGAACGAGUCAGACUAACUUACCAAACACGUUAUUCGUAACAAACCAUCCCUUACUCUCGUCCACCAUACAGUCUCGCUGAGCUGACGAUAGGAGAGAACAAAAACAGAUGUUUUCAACAUGAAUAAAUCUUUAUGCGAUUCAGUCAGACAUAGCUGUGUCCAGUUCAGAACUGCUAACCAGAGGGAAGGAACACAGAUAUUACACUGUCUAAUGUGUAGGAACACUGAUGUUACAAUGUCUCAUGAGUCGCAACACUGAUGUUACAGUGUCUCAUGUGUGGGAACACAGAUGUUACAGUGUCUCAUGAGUCGAAACAUUGAUAUUACAGUGUCUCAUGAGCAGGAACACAGAUGUUACAGUGUCUCAUGAGCAGGAACACUGAUGUUACAGUGUCUCAUGAGCAGGAACGCUGAUGUUACAGUGUCUC